UGGGUAGCGAACAGGAUUAGAUACCCUGGUAGUCCACGCCGUAAACGAUGUCAACUAGCCGUUGGGGAUCUUAGUAUCUUUAGUGGCGCAGCUAACGCUCUAAGUUGACCGCCUGGGGAGUACGGUCGCAAGAUUAAAACUCAAAUGAAUUGACGGGGGCCCGCACAAGCGGUGGAGCAUGUGGUUUAAUUCGAUGAUACGCGAGGAACCUUACCAGGGCUUAAAUGUAGUGUGACAGGGGCAGAGAUGCCUUUUUCUUCGGACACAUUACAAGGUGCUGCAUGGUUGUCGUCAGCUCGUGCCGUGAGGUGUCAGGUUAAGUCCUAUAACGAGCGCAACCCCUGUUGUUAGUUACCAGCACAUUAUGGUGGGGACUCUAACAAGACUGCCGGUGCAAACCGUGAGGAAGGUGGGGAUGACGUCAAAUCAUCACGGCCCUUACGUCCUGGGCUACACACGUGCUACAAUG
rnacentral:rRNA from 1 species